AUUGAACGCUGGCGGCAGGCCUAACACAUGCAAGUCGAACGGUAACAGGAAGCAGCUUGCUGCUUCGCUGACGAGUGGCGGACGGGUGAGUAAUGUCUGGGAAGCUGCCUGAUGGAGGGGGAUAACUACUGGAAACGGUAUCUAAUACCGCAUAAUGUCGCAAGACCAAAGAGGGGGACCUUCGGGCCUCUUGCCAUCGGAUGUGCCCAGAUGGGAUUAGCUUGUUGGUGGGGUAACGGCUCACCAAGGCGACGAUCCCUAGCUGGUCUGAGAGGAUGACCAUCCACACUGGAACUGAGACACGGUCCAGACUCCUACGGGAGGCAGCAGUGGGGAAUAUUGCACAAUGGGCGCAAGCCUGAUGCAGCCAUGCCGCGUGUAUGAAGAAGGCCUUCGGGUUGUAAAGUACUUUCAGCGGGGAGGAAGGGAGUAAAGUUAAUACCUUUGCUCAUUGACGUUACCCGCAGAAGAAGCACCGGCUAACUCCGUG
rnacentral:rRNA from 1 species